GACGAACGCUGGCGGCGUGCCUAAUACAUGCAAGUCGAACGCUUCUUGCCUCCCGAGUGCUGGAACUAGAUUGGAAAGAGGGAUGGCGGACGGGUGAGGAACACGGGGGUAAGCUACACCUCAGAGGGGGAGAACACAGUGAAACAGGUGCUAAUAGCGCAUAACAGUUUAUGCCGCAUGGCAUACGAGUGCAAAGGGCUUUCGGGUGUAUCAGAUGGAUGGAGCCGCGGUGGAUUAGCUAGUUGGUGAGGUAAAGGCUCACCAAGGCCACGAUGCAUAGCCGACCUGAGAGGGUGAUCGGUCACACUGGGACUGAGACACGGCCCAGACUCCUACGGGAGGCAGCAGUAGGGAAUCUUCGGCAAUGGACGAAAGUCUGACCCAGCAACGCCGCGUGAGUGAAGAAGGUUUUCGGAUCGUAAAACUCUGUUGUUUGAGAAGAACAAGGACGUUAGUAACCGAUCUUGCUCUGACGUUACCUAACGAGAAAGCCCCGGCUAACUACGUG
rnacentral:rRNA from 1 species